AACCUUUUGAAUCCGUGCUAAGAUUUUGUCAUCAAUCAGUCCACUAGGGCUGGUGCAGCUUCCCAAAUAAGUGAAGUG
rfam:Trichobilharzia regenti genome assembly, scaffold: TRE_scaffold0013357